GUUCGUUAAUUUGUGGGGUAGUGGUGUGGUCCAACUAACCCCCACUGUCCGGCAGUGAUAUUAUGGAAGAAAGCUUUCUGCAAUAUCAUGUUAAUGCUAAAGCAAAAAGCUUUAGUCCGGGAGUUAGAAGGUGAUAUCUCUAUUGCAGAUCCAGAGACCUAUUUCAGAGUGGCUGGAGAGACACGUCCAUUCAGAAGUCACUUUCACUUACAAUAAGCCCCUCAUGUGUGCAUUACCGUUAUCAAAUGGAUAAUGAUAAUACAAACACACUUCCUGCUUCAAAGAAAAGCUUCGAAACUAGCGCGUAUUUAGUUGAAUUUGUUGUAGUUUAAUAAUAAAGAUCAGAACAAUCUCACCGAAAACCAUCCAAGGUAGCGCGGCCAUCACCAUAGGAACGUCUGUACAACGCCAUCGGGUUUACUCCACGUCUCACCUCCGUCGCGCCGUCAGUCAUCAUUAGAACUCACGUCACAUAAUGUAUUUCUCACAAAAUUAUGGAUGAGAUCACAUUGUUUGAUUCUGUAACCACUCGCGAACGGCGCGAACUGGAACCAAACCCGCGAAAAAGAAGCGUUUGCGUUACCCGAGCUGCGGGCACCGGCAUGCAACACGCAAGACACUAAAACACCUCCGGAUGGCGUAGCGCCGUUCCACGAUUUGGCUGGAAAAAACAAUCUAACAACGCGGAACUAACUUCUCUUGAAACAAUUCUUCAAGAUCUUCCCACAAUUAUGUAAUCACUUUGUAUCAAAACUCACACAGAAUCAACAUUCUUCCCCUCGCGGAAGAGCUAUGCGGAUAGCGUAGCAGAAGAAUCAGCAGAAUCACGAAAAAAACACGUUUCAAGCAAGCAACACUGAUUUUCCUAGCGGAAUGCACAAGACACGAAAACACUUCCGGAUGGCGCAGCUGCCUGCUUCUCUAGGAAAACGGAACCAAGUUUGAACACGGUUGUUUGCAAAAACCCAUCGAUGAGUAAAAAAAUACUCAUUUUUGAAAAAGAUGCACUUCUGUCAAAACAUGGGUAAAACGGAUAUCACGAAAAGGGUAAAAAAAUACCCGUUGUUGAAAACAGCUUUGCUACCCAUUAAUGGGUGAAAAAUAGUUGUGAACAUUUUUACAAACACGCCACAUUUUGGUCUUGUUAGCUGAACAGUACUGAACAUUUUCCUGCAACCAAAAUACGAAUAAAAUGGCAGAGAUAAAAGAAAUAUAGCAACAAGAAUGAUGACAUCUGCGACGAUUGGCGAACCAUCCUGGAAGCGGCACCAUCAAGGGCACCAUCCUCAUCAAUAAUUGGAAUUUCGAACAAUUUAAUGAUCAAAUAUGUGAUUGACAAUCAUCUCUGUAAUAAAAAUAAUAGGAGGAAUAUA